UGCCAGACUCCUACGGGAGGCAGCAGUGGGGAAUAUUGGGCAAUGGGCGCAAGCCUGACCCAGCAACGCCGCGUGAAGGAAGAAGGCUUUCGGGUUGUAAACUUCUUUUGACAGGGAAGAGCAGAAGACGGUACCUGUCGAAUAAGCCACGGCUAACUACGUGCCAGCAGCCGCGGUAAUACGGAGGAUGCGAGCGUUAUCCGGAUUUAUUGGGUUUAAAGGGUGCGUAGGCGGGCUGUUAAGUCAGCGGUCAAAUGUCGGGGCUCAACCCCGGCCUGCCGUUGAAACUGGCAGUCUCGAGUUGGAGAGAAGUAUGCGGAAUGCGCGGUGUAGCGGUGAAAUGCAUAGAUAUCGCGCAGAACUCCGAUUGCGAAGGCAGCAUGCCGGCUCCACACUGACGCUGAGGCACGAAAGCGUGGGUAUCGAACAGGAUUAGAUACCCGAGUAAUC
rnacentral:rRNA from 1 species